rnacentral:rRNA from 1 species
UAGCAGAGAUGCUUUAGUGCCUUCGGGAACUCUGAGACAGGUGCUGCAUGGCUGUCGUCAGCUCGUGUUGUGAAAUGUUGGGUUAAGUCCCGCAACGAGCGCAACCCUUAUCCUUGUUUGCCAGCACGUAAUGGUGGGAACUCCAGGGAGACUGCCGGUGAUAAACCGGAGGAAGGUGGGGACGACGUCAAGUCAUCAUGGCCCUUACGAGUAGGGCUACACACGUGCUACAAUGGCGUAUACAGAGGGCUGCCAACCAGCGAUGGUGAGCGAAUCCCAGAAAGUACGUCGUAGUCCGGAUUGGAGUCUGCAACUCGACUCCAUGAAGUCGGAAUCGCUAGUAAUCGUGAAUCAGAAUGUCACGGUGAAUACGUUCCCGGGCCUUGUACACACCGCCCGUCACACCAUGGGAGUGGGCUGCACCAGAAGUAGAUAGCUUAACCUUCGGGAGGGCGUUUACCACGGUGUGGUUCAUGACUGGGGUGAAGUCGUAACAAGGUAGCCCUAGGGGAACCUGGGGCUGGAUCACCUCCUUAC